rnacentral:rRNA from 1 species
CGCGUAGGCGGCUCCUCAAGUCGGGGGUGAAAUCCUCUCGCUUAACGAGAGAAUUGCCUCCGAUACUGGGGAGCUGGAGGGGGAUAGGGGUGCGCGGAGCUUCCGGUGGAGCGGUGAAAUGCGUAGAUAUCGGAAGGAACGCCGGUGGCGAAAGCGGCGCACUGGAUCCCCACUGACGCUGAGGCGCGAAAGCCAGGGGAGCAAACGG